CACAAAACACUCCAGAGCAACUUUAGGGAAUGCCUACUUUUCCCACAGGUAAUGUGAUAGAGAAGGAAUGCCUACUUUUCCCACAGGUAAUGUGAUAGAGAAGGAAUGUCUACUUUUCCCACAGGUAAUGUGAUAGAGAAGGAAUGCCUACUUUUCCCACAGGUAAUGUGAUAGAGAAGGAAUGCCUACUUUUCCCACAGGUAAUGUGAUAGAGAAGGAAUGCCUACUUUUCCCACAGGUAAUGUGAUAGAGAAGGAAUGCCUACUUUUCCCACAGGUAAUGUGAUAGAGAAGGAAUGCCUACUUUUCCCACAGGUAAUGUGAUAGAGAAGGAAUGUCUACUUUUCCCACAGGUAAUGUGAUAGAGAAGGAAUGCCUACUUUUCCCACAGGUAAUGUGAUAGAGAAGGAAUGCCUACUUUUCCCACAGGUAAUGUGAUAGAGAAGGAAUGCCUACUUUUCCCACAGGUAAUGUGAUAGAGAAGGAAUGCCUACUUUUCCCACAGGUAAUGUGAUAGAGAAGGAAUGCCUACUUUUCCCACAGGUAAUGUGAUAGAGAAGGAAUGCCUACUUUUCCCACAGGUAAUGUGAUAGAGAAGGAAUGCCUACUUUUCCCACAGGUAAUGUGAUAGAGAAGGAAUGCCUACUUUUCCCACAGGUAAUGUGAUAGAGAAGGAAUGCCUACUUUUCCCACAGGUAAUGUGAUAGAGAAGGAAUGCCUACUUUUCCCACAGGUAAUGUGAUAGAGAAGGAAUGCCUACUUUUCCCACAGGUAAUGUGAUAGAGAAGGAAUGCCUACUUUUCCCACAGGUAAUGUGAUAGAGAAGGAAUGCCUACUUUUCCCACAGGUAAUGUGAUAGAGAAAGAAUGUAUUUUCCCCCCAAUAUCGCCAUUGAUUUCCCCCAGCACCUGUAAUGCACGACACAGUGUGCCAAACUGUGGAUGUGAACACUCACGUCAGAGCUAACCCUGUUUGAGGCAACGACAACAAGCCAUCUGGGUAGUGGUGAGCCAUGCAAGAAAGGACAAAAGCCAGACGAGGACAUGAUGUUGCGAGAGUGAAGCU